rnacentral:ncRNA from 1 species
CCUUUCCUUGUCAUGGGGUGGUUUGGGAAGCUCAAUGAACGUGUAGUGAGAUGAUCCUGCUGACACCAUAACCAACACAUGCGCCACCACCUGGACCACGUUCAGACUACGGUGCAAUUUUUGGAAAC